UACAGAGGUGGCAAGCGUUGUUCGGAAUUACUGGGCGUAAAGGGCGCGUAGGCGGCCUUCUAAGUCAGACGUGAAAUCCCCGAGCUCAACUCGGGAACUGCGUCCGAUACUGGUGGGCUUGAAUCCGGGAGAGGGAUGCGGAAUUCCAGGUGUAGCGGUGAAAUGCGUAGAUAUCUGGAGGAACACCGGUGGCGAAGGCGGCAUCCUGGACCGGCAUUGACGCUGAGGCGCGAAAGCUAGGGGAGCAAACGGG
rnacentral:rRNA from 1 species